GGUAGUGUGGCCGAGUGGUCUAUGCCGCUGGAUUUAGGCUCCAGUCUCUAGAGAGGUGUGGGUUCAAAUCCCACCACUGCCA